AUAUCACGUUGAAAUAACGGUUUCUCGAACGAUAACCGAAGUUAACCAAUGUCGAGCCUGGUCAGUACCUGGAUGGGUGACCGCUUUGGAAUUCCAGGUACUGUAAG
rnacentral:rRNA from 1 species